CGUCCGUUUCCAUCAUUUCUCGCUCGUGUUUCUGGUAGCCAGAUCCCGGCGGAAGCACAGUCUCUGCCCUCAGUCCUGCUGCUGCAGCCUCUCCUCUGGAAGGCCGCUACACCCUCGGCAGAAGUGGCACCCGCCCGGCCCUGUUUGACACUUGAGACGCGCAGCAGGUUUCCUCGAAGGACACCUUGCAGCUCCUGUUCAUCCCAGCCCCGUCUCAGCAACUCCUCUAUGAGCACUGGGUCCAUGCCACGGAGAGAAGUUUCCUCACCACACUGUCUGCCA